rnacentral:rRNA from 1 species
ACGCUCGACACCUACGGGAGCAGCAGUGGGGAAUAUUGCACAAUGGGGGAAACCCUGAUGCAGCGACGCCGCGUGGAGGAAGAAGGUCUUCGGAUUGUAAACUCCUGUUGUUGGGGAAAAAAGAGGAUGGUACCCAACAAGGAAGUGACGGCUAACUACGUGUCAGCAGCCGCGGUAAUCUGAGCGGGCUGGCAAGGC